GGGGUUGUGGCUCAGUGGUAGAGCACUCACCUCCCGCAAGUGCGGGACCCUGGGUUCAAUCCUCAGCACCACA
rnacentral:tRNA from 1 species